rnacentral:rRNA from 1 species
AAAGAUGAAAAGCACUUUGGAAAGAGAGUUAAACAUGACGUGAAAUUGUUGAAAGGGAAAUGCUUGAAGUCAGUCGCGUUAGCCGGGACUCAGCCUUGCCUUUCGCUUGGUGUAUUUUCCGGUUGACGGGCCAGCAUCGACUUUGACCGCUGGAUAAGGGUCAGGGGAAUGUGGCACCUCCGGGUGUGUUAUAGCCUCUGGUCGUAUACAGUGGUCGG